rnacentral:rRNA from 1 species
UAAACUAGGAUUAGAUACCCUAUUAUUAAAAAUUAAUUUUUUAUUUGCUAGGGUAGUAAUAGUUAAAUUCUUGAAACUCAAAAAAUUUGGCGGUAUUUUAGUCUAUUCAGAGGAACCUGUAACGUAAUUGAUAAUCCACGUUGGACCUUACUUAAUUUAGUUUUCAAUUUGUAUACCGCCGUUAUUAAAAAUUUUAUAAGAAUAAUAAUUUUUAAAAAUUUCUAUAAGAAAAUAAAUCAGGUCAAGGUGCAGUUUAUGGUUAAGAGUUAUAUGGGUUACAAUAAAUUUAUUUAAAUGGAUUAGUAUUUGAAAUAAAAUUAUGAAAGUGGAUUUGAUAGUAAAUUUUAAUAGAUUAUAAAAUUAAUUAUAGCUCUAAAAUAUGCACACNUCGCCCGUCGCUCUUA